rnacentral:rRNA from 1 species
UACGUAGGUGGCAAGCGUUGUCCGGAUUUACUGGGCGUAAAGAGCGCGCAGGCGGUCGUUCAAGUCGCGUGUGAAAGCCCCCGGCUCAACUGGGGAGGGUCACGCGAUACUGAUCGACUCGAAGGCAGGAGAGGGUAGUGGAAUUCCCGGUGUAGUGGUGAAAUGCGUAGAUAUCGGGAGGAACACCAGUGGCGAAGGCGGCGUCCUGGACCUGGCCUGACGCUCAGGAGCGAAAGCGUGGGGAGCGAUCCGG